AGUUUGAUCCUGGCUCAGAUUGAACGCUGGCGGCAUGCUUUACACAUGCAAGUCGAACGGCAGCGCGGGGCAACCUGGCGGCGAGUGGCGAACGGGUGAGUAAUAUAUCGGAACGUACCCAAGAGUGGGGGAUAACGUAGCGAAAGUUACGCUAAUACCGCAUACGAUCUAAGGAUGAAAGCAGGGGAUCUUCGGACCUUGUGCUCCUGGAGCGGCCGAUAUCUGAUUAGCUAGUUGGUGAGGUAAAGGCUCACCAAGGCGACGAUCAGUAGCUGGUCUGAGAGGACGACCAGCCACACUGGAACUGAGACACGGUCCAGACUCCUACGGGAGGCAGCAGUGGGGAAUUUUGGACAAUGGGCGAAAGCCUGAUCCAGCAAUGCCGCGUGAGUGAAGAAGGCCUUCGGGUUGUAAAGCUCUUUUGUCAGGGAAGAAACGGUGGGGGCUAAUAUCCUCCACUAAUGACGGUACCUGAAGAAUAAGCACCGGCUAACUACGUG
rnacentral:rRNA from 1 species